AGGCGCUGGCUGCCCCUGGACGCUUGAAGGGCUUGAAAACUUGUGUCUCGUCACGGGGAGGGUGAGAGACCCAUGGAGGGAGCGGGUCGCGGCGCCAAGAGGCUUACCUCCUGCGUGUGUGCUGACAAGGAGGCUGCCUUUCAGGAGAGCUUCCCCCUGGGCAGUCACGAAGUGGCGCGCUGGUUCCCGGGCCACACGGACAAGGGGAAGACACGUCAGGCAUUUGCCUAAGGCUUCUGUGCAGAAUGGAGCUGGAGGAGCCUUAUUUGUGCCACACCUGUGGUACACGGAAGUUCCUGGGACGGAGUCUGAAUCCACGCCGCAUCCACAAUCCUCACCAAAGGUGCAGAAACACCGGUUUCACCACCCACUGUGCUGGGCCAGGGAUCCACAGGUAACACCUCAGAGACAAACCAGACCAUUAACCGACUGUGCUACAGCUGGAACUCCUAUUUAUGUAUUUUUAAAGAGAAGCUAUGUAUUUAAGGUGCACAACAUGAGGAUAUGAGGUACAAAUACAUGGUGAAAUGAUAACUACAGUCAAGUCGAUUAAUAAAUAUGUCAUCUCUGGAGUUCCCGUUGUGGCGCAGUGAAAAUGAAUUCGACUGGGAACCAUGAGGUUGCAGGUUUGAUCCCUGGCCUUGCUCAGUGGGUUAAGGAUCCGGCGUUGCCAUGAGCUGUAGAGUAGGUCACAGACGUGGCUGUGGUGUAUGCUGGCAGCUGCAGCUCCGAUUAGACCCCUAGCCUGGGAGCCUCAAUAUGCCACGGGUGCGGCCCUACAAAGACAAAAGACAAAAAAAUAAUAAUAAUAAUAAAUAAAUAAAUAUGUCAUCUCCACACAUAGUUACCAUUUUUGUAUGAGAUAAACUUGCUUAAAAUCCAGUCUCUUAGAACAUUCUCAGUGUUUGAUAGACUUGUUAAGAUUAGUCGUCAUGCCUGUACAUUAGUCUCUAGAUUUCUUCAUCCCGCAUAACUGCAACUUUGUAUCCUUUGACCACCAUCUCUCCCCCUUUCUCCCUCCUCUUCCGUCCCCCACUUGCAAGCCCCUGAUGACCACUAUUCGACUCUCUGAUUCCAUGAGUUCAGUUUUUUUUUUUUUUUUUUUUUUAACAUUCCACUUAUAAGGGAUACCAUACAGUAUUUGCUUUUCCCUUUCUGGCUUAUUUUACUUAGCAUAAUGCCCUGCAGCAUAAUGGAGGGCAUAAUGUUUUCACUAAAGGCAGGAUUUCCUUUUUUUUCUCAUGGCUGAAUAAUACUGUAUUCAGGCUGUUGUAUUUAUAUACCACAUCUUCUUUCUCCAUCCAUAAGUCGGUGAAUGAUUGGUUAUUUUUUUUAAUAACUUGGCUUUUUUGAUGAAUGCUGUGGUGAACAUAGGAGUUCAGAUGUCUCUUCAAGAUCCUGAUUUCAUUUCCUUUGGGUAUAUACCCCAAAUUGGGAUUGCUGGGUCAUAGGAUGGUUCUUGUUUUAAUUUUUUGAGCAAUAUGCAUACUGUUUUCCAGAAGAGCUGUGCCGAUGAUCAUUUCCACUGACAGUAUACAAGGAUUCCCUUUUCUUUUCAGCCUUGCCAACAUUUGCUGUCUCUUGUCUUUUUGACUAUAGACAUCCUAACAGAAGUGAGGUGAUAACUCACUGUGGCUUUGAUUUGCAUUUCCUGAUUGCUAGUGAUUUUGAGCAACUUUUCAUAUGCUUCUUGGCCACUUCUGUCUUCUUUUAAGAAGUUUCUACUCAGGUCCUUGGCCCAAUUUGAAUCAAGUUGUUUGUUUGAUCAAGCUGUUAUUGAGUUGUUUGAGUUCUUUAUAUAAUUUGGAUAUGAACCCCCUUAUCAAAUGUUUGAGGUUUGCCAGUAUCUCUUCUUAUUCCACACGUUGUCUUUUCACUUCUUGGUUUCCUUUGUUGUGAAGAAGCUUUUGAAUUGGAUGCAAUCCUAUUUGUCUAUUUUUGCAUUUGUUCCCUGGACUUUUGAGGUCAUAUUCAAAAAACAUUGUCCAGAUCAAUACCAAGAAGCAUUUCUGCUCAGUUUUCUUCUAAUAGUUUUACAGUGUCAGGUCUUACAUUCAAGUUCCUAACUAUGUUGUAGUUGAUUUUCGUAUAUGGAGUGAGAUGAGGGUCCAGUUUUAAUCACUUGCAUGUGGAAAGUAGUUUUCUCGGAGUUCCCGUCGUGGCGCAGUGGUUAACAAAUCCGACUAGGAACCAUGAGGUUGCAGGUUCGGUCCCUGCCCUUGCUCAGUGGGUUAACGAUCCGGCAUUGCCGUGAGCUGUGGUGUAGNGUGUAGGUUGCAGACGCGGCUCGGAUCCCGCGUUGCUGUGGCUCUGGCGUAGGCCGGUGGCUACAGCUCCGAUUCAACCCCUAGCCUGGGAACCUCCAUAUGCCGUGGGAGCGGCCCAAGAAAUAGCAACAACAACAACAACAAAAGACAAAAAAAGACCAAAAAAGACAAAAAAAAAAAAA
rnacentral:lncRNA from 1 species